rnacentral:rRNA from 1 species
AGAGUUUGAUCAUGGCUCAGGAUGAACGCUGGCGGCGUGCCUAAUACAUGUAAGUCGAACGGAAGAUGUAGCAAUAUGUCUUUAGUGGCGAACGGGUGAGUAACGCGUUGGUGACCUGCCCCGAAGAGAGGGAUAACAGACCGAAAGGUUUGCUAAUACCGCGUAAUUUCCUUCUAGUUAGAGAGGAGGGAAGAAAGGCCGAAAGGCGCUUUGGGAGGGGCCUGCGUCCCAUCAGCUAGUUGGCGAGGUAAAAGCUCACCAAGGCGAUGACGGGUAGGGGACCUGAGAGGGUGACCCCCCACAAUGGAACUGAAACACGGUCCAUACACCUACGGGUGGCAGCAGUAGGGAAUAUUGGUUAAUGGGCGAAAGCCCGACCCAGCAACGCCGCGUGCACGAAGAAGGCCUUCGGGUUGUAAAGUGCUUUUUAGUGGGAUGAGGAAGGACAGUACCACUAGAAUAAGUCUCGGCUAACUACGUGCCAGCAGCCGCGGUAACACGUAGGAGACGAGCGUUAUCCGGAUUUACUGGGUGUAAAGCGCGUGCAGGCGGUCGGGUAAGUUGGAUGUGAAAGCUCCUGGCUUAACUGGGAGAGGUCGUUCAAAACUGCCGGGCUAGAGUGCAACAGAGGGGAGUGGAAUUCCGAGUGUAGCGGUAAAAUGCAUAGAUAUUCGGAAGAACACCAGUGGCGAAGGCGGCUCUCUGGGUUGCAACUGACGCUCAGACGCGAAAGCUAGGGUAGCGAACGGGAUUAGAGACCCCGGUAGUCCUAGCCGUAAACGAUGUGGACUUGGCGUGGGUGGGUUGAAAUCCAUCUGUGCCGAAGCAAACGCGAUAAGUCCACCACCUGGGGACUACGGCCGCAAGGUUAAAACUCAAAGGAAUUG